rnacentral:lncRNA from 1 species
CUGGCGGGGCCGGUCGGGCGCGGUCGGACUGGGCCGGUUCGGCCCAUUUGGCCGGGCCGGUCCGGUUUUCUCUUCUUCUUUUUUUCCUUUAGCCCUUUUCUUUUUCUGUUUUUCUUAUUUCUUUGAUAUCUUUUGAUUUUGAACUCGAAAUUGGUCCAAACAAAUUCCAGAAAAUUUGUAAAAUCAUGUUCCACCAUGAUACAACUUUUGGGAGUAUUUUCCCCUCAAAAUAAAAUAUAUAAAAAUACAUUUGCCCUAUAAAUGCUUUUAGGGUUAUAUAUCCUUUUAAAUAAAAUACCUUUUCAACUCCAAAUAAUUACCCAAAAAUUAUGGGAUAGCUCAUAUGUGCAAUAAACCCCUUUUAUACAUAAACCCUAUUGGUUUGAAAAUCCAAUGCUUAAAUGGGUGUGAACAAAAUCUUUUAAAGUCUUUUGUGAUUCAAAUUUGAAUUCAAACAUGCAAUUGUGGCAUGAUGCUUAUGGAUGCAAUGCAUAUGAAAGGUUUUGAAUUUUUGGGAUGUUACAGACCUAACCCCCUUAAGAUGAAUCUCGUCCUCGAGAUUCGGUGUGGCUAGCAAAGAGGUGUGGGUGGUCUUCUCGAAGAUCAUCUUCGCGUUCCCAAGUGGCUUCUUCUUCUGUAUGAUGGUCCCACUGGACUUUGCAAAACUUGAUGGUCUUGGAUCGGGUCUGUCUCUCGGCUGUAUCCAAGGUCCUGAUCGGUUUCUCCUCAUAGGUGAGGUCACUCUGUAUCUGGACUUCCUCAAGUGGAAUUGUAUCCCUCAGGGGUGUUUCGGCCAUCUCUGGGUGACACUUCUUCAAUUGUGAUACGUGGAAGACGUUGUGGACAUUGGACAGUGCUUCCGGUAAAUCCAACUUGUAAGCUACCUCUCCUUGUCGCGACAAUAUCUUGAAAGGUCCAAUGAAGCGGGGUGCUAACUUUCCUUUUAUACCAAAUCUCUUCACUCCGCGUAUCGGCGAAACUCUGAGAUACGCCCUGUCUUCAGCUUCAUACGUAACCUCCCUACGUUUUGAAUCCGCAUAGCUCUUCUGUCUUGACUGAGAUUGGACAGUUCCAAAAGAUUCAGCUUCAAAUAUUCAAAUUUGAAAUUGGACAGUGCCAAAAGAUUCUACACUUCCUAAGGAUUCCAAAAAGGUGUGGAUCACUAAAUUUGGCCAAACAGAUUUAAAGUUAUGAUCAUUUGAAGUUACAGGGGCCUAUCUGCAAAAGUGCCUUUUAAUUAAUCCGGGGGAUUAAAAUUAGAUUUUUUAUUUUAUAAAAAUAGAUGCCACGUGGCGCGUUCCUGUCCGUCGGUACCGGUUCGGUUUAAGUGAAUAAGGACGAUCUAAUCUACACCGUUGAUCAACGAUCGGACGGACGAGGGGCGAGGGUUUUUACCGGGCGGCGGCGGUGGUCACCGGAGACGGAGGGGACGGCGGCGCGGGGGUGCUCCGGCGACGUGGGCGCGACGGGGAAGCGACGGGCGAGGGCGGCGCGGCACGGCGGACUCGGGGGCGGGGUCGGAGGCGCUCGGGGACGGCGGGGUGCUCGCCUAGGACGGCGAAGAGGCGGCGGCCGGCGGUGAGCUUCGGUCGAACGGCGACGGCGUCCGAGCUCGUCGGCGCGACGCGAAACGGCGGCGGGCUUGGAGCUUCUCCGGCGAGCGAUUCCGGCGGCCUGGGGCGUGCGAGCGAGGGCAAACGGGGGGGAAAAGAAGCGGGGUGCCCGGGCUUUAAAGCGACGCGGCCAGUGGGUUUCGGGAAGGCCGGAAUCUCCGGAUUCCGGUGAUUGCGGCGGCGCGGGGAGUCCGGCGCGGGCGGUGCGGGCGCCUUCCAAACGGAGCCUGACAGGUGGGCCCCACCUGUCAGCGUCUCCGCCCGCGCGCGCGGGCGGCCGGGCUGGCGGGGCCGGUUCGGCCCAUUUGGCCGGGCCGGUCCGGUUUUCUCUUCUUCUUUUUUUCCUUUAGCCCUUUUCUUUUUCUGUUUUUCUUAUUUCUUUGAUAUCUUUUGAUUUUGAACUCGAAAUUGGUCCAAACAAAUUCCAGAAAAUUUGUAAAAUCAUGUUCCACCAUGAUACAACUUUUGGGAGUAUUUUCCCUACCGGGCGGCGGCGGUGGUCACCGGAGACGGAGGGGACGGCGGCGCGGGGGUGCUCCGGCGACGUGGGCGCGACGGGGAAGCGACGGGCGAGGGCGGCGCGGCACGGCGGACUCGGGGGCGGGGUCGGAGGCGCUCGGGGACGGCGGGGUGCUCGCCUAGGACGGCGAAGAGGCGGCGGCCGGCGGUGAGCUUCGGUCGAACGGCGACGGCGUCCGAGCACGUCGGCGCGACGCGAAACGGCGGCGGGCUUGGAGCUUCUCCGGCGAGCGAUUCCGGCGGCCUGGGGCGUGCGAGCGAGGGCAAACGGGGGGGAAAAGAAGCGGGGUGCCCGGGCUUUAAAGCGACGCGGCCAGUGGGUUUCGGGAAGGCCGGAAUCUCCGGAUUCCGGUGAUUGCGGCGGCGCGAGGAGUCCGGCGCGGGCGGUGCGGGCGCCUUCCAAACGGAGCCUGACAGGUGGGCCCCACCUGUCAGCGUCUCCGCGCGCGCGCGCGGGCGGCCGGGCUGGCGGGGCCGGUCGGGCGCAGUCGGACCGGGCCGGUUCGGCCCAUUUGGCCGGGCCGGUCCGGUUUUCUCUUCUUCUUUUUUUCCUUUAGCCCUUUUCUUUUUCUGUUUUUCUUAUUUCUUUGAUAUCUUUUGAUUUUGAACUCGAAAUUGGUCCAAACAAAUUCCAGAAAAUUUGUAAAAUCAUGUUCCACCAUGAUACAACUUUUGGGAGUAUUUUCCCCUCAAAAUAAAAUAUAUAAAAAUACAUUUGCCCUAUAAAUGCUUUUAGGGUUAUAUAUCCAUUUAAAUAAAAUACCUUUUCAACUCCAAAUAAUUACCCAAAAAUUAUGGGAUAGCUCGUAUGUGCAAUAAACCCCUUUUAUACAUAAACCCUAUUGGUUUGAAAAUCCAAAGCUUAAAUGGUUGUAAACAAAAUCUUUUAAAGUCUUUUGUGAUUCAAAUUUGAAUUCAAACAUGCAAUUGUGGCAUGAUGCUUAUGGAUGCAAUGCAUAUGAAAGGUUUUGAUUUUUUGGGAUGUUACAGAGAGCGAGCGGGAAUGUCCGGUGUAUGACCCUGAACCGUAUGAACGGAUGGGUCAUCUAGCCAAUGUUAAUCACCAGGUGUCG